ACAUGAAAUAAAAAAUUCAAAAUGAUGGUGCAGGUCUAUGGUUUUCCUUCGUCCCCUUUUCUUCGUCGAAACGAAGCAGCAGCAUCCACCACAGUACAUAAUAAAUUCUCUGAAAAACCCUUCCUUUUCAUCACUCACCCACCAUCAUUGUCAGGUCUUCAGAAAUAAAGUUCUGCAACAAAUUGAAACCACACUUCAACAUACAAGGUUUUCACCCUUUCAUCACCUUGCUCAUUGCCAAAGGCCUUCGUUAUCUGAUAACAAAUCUUCCUGUGUGCACUUGAUUCAAUAUUCGUUGCCCUUGAACUAUUAUUAUAUUGCUUGUCAUGUUUCUAACCGCCAUUAUUGUUCAGAAACUGUUUCCAUGAACAAAGAUCUUAGUUGUAGUGAGAGUGGUGUUGUGGAGGGUAAUGGUUUUGAAAGUGACGUUGAUAAGGUGUAUAGCAUUGUGAUGGAUAAUUUAGCUGGAUUUAACAAUAUGGAGAAUGCUCUUGGCCAAUUGGGGAUCCCUUUGUCCACCCCUUUGGUUACAGGGGUGUUGCAUAGGCUUAGAUAUGAUGAAAAAAUUGCACUUAGGUUUUUCACUUGGGCUGGUCAUCAAGAGGAUUAUUCACAUGAACCUUGUGCUUAUAAUGAUAUGAUGGACAUCUUAUCUAGUACUAGGUACAAGGUGAAACAGUUUCGGAUUGUUUGUGAUGUGUUGGAAUAUAUGAAGAGGAAUAACAGGACUAUGGUUCCGGCUGAAGUUCUCUUGGUGAUUUUGAGAAAGUAUACUGAGAAGUAUCUUACUCAUAUGCAGAAGUUUGCAAAGAAGAAGAGGAUAAGGGUGAAGACGCAACUAGAAAUAAAUGCAUUUAACUUGCUGCUGGAUGCUCUGUGCAAGUGUUGCUUGGUUGAGGAUGCUGAAAGUCUAUAUAAGAAAAUGAGGAAAACGGUCAAGCCUAAUGCGGAGACGUAUAAUAUAUUGGUUUUUGGGUGGUGUAGGGUUAGAAACCCGACUAGAGGGAUGAAAUUACUGGAAGAAAUGAUUGAACUGGGUCAUAGGCCUGACAAUUUCACGUACAACACUGCCAUCGAUACCUACUGCAAAACAGGUAUGAUAACAGAGGCUGUAGAUCUUUUUGAGUUCAUGAGGACAAAAGGUUCAACUAUAUCUUCCCCCACUGCCAAGACUUAUGCAAUUAUAAUUGUGGCUCUUGCCCAACAUGAUAGAAUGGAAGAUUGUUUUAAGCUUAUAGGGCAUAUGAUUAGCAGUGGCUGUCUUCCUGAUGUUACAACAUACAAGGAAAUAAUUGAGGGAAUGUGUAUGUGUGGAAAGAUAGAUGAAGCUUACAAGUUCUUGGAAGAGAUGGGAAACAAAAGUUACCGACCAGAUAUUGUUACUUAUAAUUGUUUUCUCAAGGUCCUUUGUGACAAUAAGAAGUCUGAGGAUGCCCUUAAACUCUAUGGAAGAAUGAUUGAAUUGAAUUGCAUUCCUAGUGUCCAGACAUACAAUAUGCUGAUUUCAAUGUUUUUUGAGAUGGAUGAUCCUGAUGGGGCAUUUGAAACUUGGCAGGAAAUUGACAACAGGGGUUGCAGACCGGACACUGACACAUAUUGUGUGAUGAUCGAGGGGCUAUUUAACUGCAAUAAAAUGGAAGAUGCUUGUUUUCUUUUGGAAGAAGUGAUAAAUGAGGGAGUAAAACUGCCAUAUAAAAAGUUCGACUCCUUUUUGAUGCAACUGUCAGUGAUUGGCGAUCUCCAGGUCAUUCAUAGGCUCUCAGAACAUAUGAAGAAAUUCUAUAAUCAUGGUAUGGCAAGGCGUUUUGCACUAAGCCAGAAGCGUAAGAGCUUCAGUUUAAGAGGGAAAUAAUAGUGCUAGAAAUUUCUUUGUCAUUGUGCUAUCUGUCAGAAAAAUUUGAAGGGGCAGAAUUAGGGGGUUCUUAUCAUGAUAGGUCAGACAAAUAUUUUCUGGAAGCAUGGCAGGUUUUAGUAUUAACUAUUUCAGAUACUGCCUUCAAACUUGCCCUGCAUUACAUAUUGAACUACUUCAUGAUGAUAACUAGUUGCAUCUUUGAACAUGUUCUAUUGGUCAUGCCAUUUGCUGCCAAUAAUUUUUGCACGAAAAAAAUGUAAGUCUCGAUUUUUUUUUAUCCAUCUAGAGAAACAAUGGAAGCUGUCAUGACAUAUUUUGAUUGUGCGAUGUUGGUUAGUUGAUGCAGCCUAAAGGCGGGAAGAUCCAUGUAUAUAUUUUAUGGUUGCAUCUGAGGACAGAGGUUGCGCAGAUUUGCUUGAUGUUAGGAGGCUUGUUUGUUUUGUUGGAGAUCCAGUUGUGGAAGGAUGGGGUUUCUUAAAACAUGUCAGGCCAGUGUCUUAAUAUAUGAUUAAGAUCAUUGUCUGUGAAUGUUUUCUCUAUUUUACAAACCAUUCCACAAAUGUAUGCUUAUAUAUUAGAAUGUAUUAUGAUUCAUGUUUUAGCCUUAGUUGAAAGCUGAUGUUUAUCCUGGGGAUUUCUUUUUCCUCAGCUAGGCAAAGAUUUCAAAGUAUUCAUGUCAGGUAAUAAUGGUUCCAGUUUGGCUACAUUGAGUCCACCAUUGCUAAGCUGUGAGCUAAAUCAAUUACUAUGUAAACUAUCUUGUCUUGUGAAAAGAGAUAGAGAAAGACCAAUAAGGAUAUUGAAGGAAAAUAUUAAAAAUAAUCUUUGGUAAAUAAUAUUUUUGAGAAUUUGUUUUUUUU